AGGCGCCAAGUCGCACCCUGGGCCGGUAUUACCAGUUCCUGUCCUCUCUGCAUCUUCCCCGUCAGGCGCCAUCUCCCCUCUCUCGGGGCGACACUGUGUCUCCCUAGUCCGGCCACUGCGACCCUUCAGGACUUACCGCGGCCGGCACACCAUCACCGCCGCCUGGUCUGCGCGCUGCGAGGCGGAGCAGGACACCCGCCUGCGCCAGGGCAUCCUCUCGCGCCCGCCACACCCGCCCACUCCGGUGGCCCGGGGUCCUCCCGCGCAGCUCUGGUGCUCGGGACUUACCUCCGGGACAAGGUGACCCGGCUGGUGCGCCCAGGCGGCCGCCCGCGCGUCUCGAGAGCCGGGAAGCGUGAGGGGCGCGGGGCGGUGCGGAGCCCGCCUCUGCUUCUGGGCUCGUGGCUCUCCGCCUCUGCCCUCCCCUGCGCGCAGCUUCCCCCGCCGCUCCCCUCCUUGGAUCACUGCCAGCGCCCUGGGCUGCCCCGAGCACACAGUUCCCGAGAGCCGAACACAGGGCUGCGGCGCCACCCUUCCAGAACCCGGUCCUCUUGGCCCCUAGGAGCACAAAGGGCGCGGGCUGAACUAGGGGUGACCCGGGAUGUGCCGUUCCACUCUUUGGUCUCGCGGAGCCUGGCGACUUGUGUGCAAGAGUAUGCGGCCGCGGUCCCCGGGAGAAGGUGGCCGUGA
rnacentral:lncRNA from 1 species